GGAGAGAUGUCCGAGUGGCUGAAGGAGCAUGCUUGGAAAGCAUGUGUAGCUUAAUUGCUACCAGGGGUUCGAAUCCCCUUCUCUCCGCCA
rnacentral:tRNA from 1 species